GGCUAGUCACAUUCUCCCAGCCUUUGUGGGAGGCAGUGGCAAAUCUCCUUUGAGUCUUACAAGAGGGUCACCAGAAAUUGGAGAUGGCUUGAAGGUGCAUAAAAACAAAUGCAUGGUUCUACGAGAAAGUACAGAGGCAAAGUGUUGGAGGAGCAUCAGAGGGUAACUAUUAAGAAAGGAUUCAGCCAGAACUCACAAUCAUACUACAACAGAUGCAUUGAGUAGGAAGGUUUGUAUAAGAACAUCUUUUUAAAAAGCUUGCUGUUACGUGGUAGAAUACGCUAG
rnacentral:lncRNA from 11 species